UCAGGCCGUCCCUCCAACUCCGGCCCGCCACCAAGCCUCCCCUCAGGGUUCCCGCCCCGCCGCAGGGACGCCCGGGCGCGUCCCACCCGCCACCCGGCAACUCCCGUGGGGACGCCCCGCCGCCGGGGCCGGGGCCGGCUCCCGGCCCGGGGGCGAAACAAAAGGAGGAGGCUUCAAGGAGUCCACGGAGAACAGAUCAAUGCUUGAUUUGCCAAGAGGUAUCCCUCCACACUCGGCAUACUCCCAAGUGCUUGCCUGAGACGCCAGGGAAACCAAAGGAAUAGGUGUAUGGAAUCCGCCUAACACUGAAGAUAAGAAAACAUUUUUUCCUCCUCAGGCCCCAAAGCAAGUGUCUACACAAAUAUUAGCACUGAGGACUAGCGAGGAGUCAGAUUCCAGCAAACCAAACACUACAGACAAGAUGGCUGAAAAAUGAGCCAGGGCAAAAAUUAUCUACUGCACUUAUAUUAACACCUAUUAAAACAUUAUUAAAGGUAGUUCUCGAGACAAACUACCUACUCUGUGCACACGUUUCCAGUAAGCAGAAGUUACAGUUUAACACUCUCCCUAUAAAAUGGUCCUAUUAAGAAACAUCCUCUCAAAAAGCUAGGGACUGUAAAGUAUGAAACUUCCCUAGUGCAAGUGCCUGGCCUUCUAAUAUUCAAUUGUAUCGUCUCCAUCUACUGGCCAGAAGCAGCUUUGGCUGGAGCACAGAACUGGUGAAGUAUAACCACUGCAUCCACAUACUUCUUCAUGCUAACUGUUGAUAGGGCCUCAUUUUAGCAGUUUUGGGGGUUUGGUGUUUAUUUUGUUUGGGCUGGGUUUUUUUUUUUCCCCUUUUCUUCCCCCCCAGGAAUACCGAUGCUGUUUAGACAAAACUCCACAGUAAAUCCGUCUCUUGCUAUUUUAUUCUCAGCUAUUUCAAAAUGGUGUUGUUGCACAAUUUUACUUCAACUCAUUCAGGCAACGUUAACUUCCACAAUUCAAUAUAUUGUGUUAUGAUUAUAUUUUCUGCAGGUCUGAGUACAAAAUGUGACUUUUAUUCUAAGCUUCUUUUCUUGGAAAAUUAGCAUUAGUUUUGAAGAUAGUAUAUGAUUAAUUUUGAUUAAUUUACAUCUAAUCCUGUCACCUCAAGAUAGGACUGUGCAGUUAUUAAAGAAAAAUGUUUUGUUAACAGCAUAUAUUACAUAAAAAACAUACUUCAGAUAUAUUAAAAAUGUAACUUUCUGUUGCUACUUAGGUAAAAAGAAGUCACACUUUUAAUGCAGAAAUAGUAAGUUGAAGAAAUAUCCCCUUUCUUUUUUUCCUCCUUCCUCACCCUCAAAAGACACUGGCCAUCUGCAAAAGGGAAUAAGCAGUGGGAAUGGUGUUGGCAAAGUAACGACCUUCUGAGCGAAACUGACUGAAGUUAAACUUGUAACUGCACGUCAGUGACCGCUAACUCAGGAACACUUCGCUAUUUACCCCUGCGUAACGGUCCCCUGGGGAGUGUCUGCCAACAUGCAUCAUUCCCACUUUUCUGGAAGCAAAUUCCAAAAUUCCAUUUCAGCAACCAGUAUCACUCUUGUGGUUCCUCAGGAGAGCUUUGAACCUCCUCUGAUAGGAGGAACACAUGACACCACAUCCUCCAAAAAAACCCACACACACACACCCCUUACAGCAUUCACUGCUUACUGUUGAAUUUUCAGUUUCUAUUGCUAAAUAGGUGAACCUGCACUACAAGUACUUGUGUGUGUCUAGUGUUAUAUCAGCUUAAGUUAUUCUUAAACCAAGAGUGGUACCAAUACUAAUCUCAAAAGACAUUUUGAUUUCACGGUUUAGCAGCUGCAAAAAUUCCCUGCACCUGAAGUGAGGUCACGGGCAGCCUCUUGAGUGAGAAAGCAAAAUCAUAAAAAUCAAAAGCAACUUGACCACACUAGGUCCUCCCUUACCUUCUUGAAAGCAUACAGAGACAAUUACAUCACAGGUCUGAACUGGCAUGACAGGACAGAUCUGACAGAGAUUGUAGAAACAGCCUCCUCAGAGCAGAAAUCGCUGUUUCUUGUCUCCAAACCCAAGAGGUGAAUUUCACACUAACUCCAGCCUUGCAAGAGCGCUCGGAGAUCAUCACCCCAGGCUGAUUUUCUAAACAGACUCAGAAUAGCUGAGAGGCUAUUUGGUUUCUUCUCUAUCAGGUAAUUAAAAGAUCAGAGUUAAUUCUGCAAGCAAAAAUCUGUGAACAUGUAACAAAUGUAAAGACCAAACAUUUGGGCCUCAUGGGCUGUGAAGGAACAAGACACCGUCUUUGAAAAACAACUACUCUGAUACAAAGAAGUUCUAAAACUCAUGAGACAAACCUACAUUUCUACUGGAAAAUACCGUUAAUGAGCUUAGCAUUUUGUAUUCAGAUAUGAAACACACAGCUCACUCAUGUCCUAAAUGGGUGUCCAUUCCUCGUAUCUCUUUUGAGUCAGAAAAGCUGCUGUAGAAACCUUUUCCUGAACUAAAAGCAAACUAAAUUUAGGGCUUCUAGGGCUAUAGCAGUGGGUAACAUCUCCUGAACAAGGCUCCUGUGAAAGAGGAAAACUCAUUCAGCAAUGGCAAAGAGGCACCAACUCGGUGUUACACCUGUUAAUAGUGUGUUAGUCUAAGGCUAACAUAAAUCAGAGAGAAAUCUAACUUGAUUACAAAGGGAGAUAUCGAUUGAGGUGGCUUACGCCCUCUGGAAAUAAAAGCAUCUUCUGAAUCACACCUUUGAAAAGGGAUUAAAUAGCAGGUAAUUUACCUGUCCCCGUGGAGCACCUCAAAAGUUAGCAGAAUCUCCUUCAGAACUGACAGGAUGAGGCACAGCAGGGGGCCUGUCUUUUAGAGAAAGGCUAUUUUUUUAAUUGGUUGAUUCCAGCAGUAGGAAACAAAAAUAAUUUCAGGAAAUCAAACCGUUUCCAAGUAGCCGCAUGAUAGUGCAACUACUGAGGCUAUUCAGCGAGCCAUCGAACUGCCAAUAAUAAACACCACCCCAAAGAACCCGAGAGACUAAAAAUCUCUCGUCUAUCAGCACCAACUCAGAUGGUGUCUCCUUUGGUCUCAGAUACUCCCUUAUGACAAAAUCUAUCAUCAUCUAGACACACCUGCUCUCCUUCACUGAAUAGGGCUGCGGACAAUUAUUUAUGUACAAACUUUGUUACCAAUAUCCAGCAUCGGGUGAGAUGAAUCCCAUGACUUUUAUCCAAUAUUGAGCCCAUACCUCUGAAAUCUGAGCAGACGUUAAGCUGUCCUGUGAGAUGUUCUUUCUCGAAGCAAUACAAACAUCUUCAUGAUAAUCAAAAAAGGGGAAAGCACCUCUACUAGACAGAAGCUUAGAUCCUAUUUACUGCUUCUCAGAAGACAACAAAUGCAUUUCUUAGAAUUUAAGAGACCAUCAAGCCCCACGCAUGUAAGCACAAUGGGCUAACUUAGCAAGUAAGAGUGAACUGAAUGAUUAAAUAGCAAGGGCCAAGGCUGCUCCAAUGCACAGCAAAAUCCUUCAGAGUUGAAAAAAAACACAGGGUGACAAAUACCUGACUUCUGUAUUACUUUUAAUACCACCCUCAUUGUAUCUGGAAGACCCUGUGUAUGCAUGCACCCCUGCAGACACCACAUAAGGCUCCAGUUCAAGAGCCCAAGGCAGCUGCGCACCCAGUACACAGAUGCAUACACAGAGUCAUUAGGAAAUUCACCUUCCUUAAUUCUUUAUUUCAUUGAAAAUUCCAACUGUGCAACCAGUCCGACUCUCACGCACGUACUCCGUACAUGAGACUGAAAGAUCUAGAUGUGCAGAGAACAGACGACAUUUGGCACAACAGCUGCCUUAUGCUGGGGAAUAGCAGCCCUUGCCCUCAGCAUUCCUUUGAAGUCUCUGCAGAGAAAAAGCAAUGACAGAAUGCCGCAGCAGUACACAAGCCUCGUGUUGAAAACAUGAAGUCAAGUCACUUUCUUAUAGAUUUUGCCCAGGGUUCUCAGGGAGAUCUUGUAGACAAAGCCAGGCAAAGGAGACUAGACAUUUAUCUGCAUUAAUAUCUUUCAUGAACAAGCUAGAGCCGCACACAAAAAGCAAGUAAUUUCACUUUCAGAACAGUAAAAACAGAUGAGAGCUUAGACUGGAACUCACCUUAGCUUUGGGAGAUGAGCUACUUUUCAAAGCUGUGUUCGUGAAUCCUAGUUACUAUUAGACACUUAAAUAAGCUAACGCAACUACAGUGCUGGGACAUCACGUCCAAAGCGUGGGGAGUUUUCUAGUUGUUUUUUUGUUGUUACUGAGUACAACUUUGAGCACUUUUGCUCAGAUGUCUGGGGUGGAUUAGGUACCUCUUUGUUCUGCGCCACAGCAGAGCACUGGUAUUGUUUGCAGUGCGCUUUAUGCUACGCUAGGUACAUCUCUUACCAAAUGCACAACUGGAGCUAUACUCAGGAAAAAUGGUUGAAAUAAAGCCAUGGCCCUUCCCAUAUCAGUAACGCAGUUAGAUUCCUUCAACUCCUUCCUAAGGAUGACUGUUUAUUUUUUGAUAGCUGCAGAUAAAGCUACUGUUCUACUAUACCUUGUUUGGGCAAGAGUACUUCAGUGCUGUGGAAGAUCAAGAAUGCUUGACUGCUUAAAAAAUUCUGUACUCCCGUAAGCCUCAAUUAAGGAACCUGAAAAGCUAAGAUUAGCUAUUCAGACAGCUUUUAAAUAGGUGAAAAGGGGAGUGUGGAGUUUAAAAAAAGCCUGCCUGAGUUGAAAAAACACCACAGAAACUUUUGGAUUAACUCUGACAAGUUCAGUGGGGAAAGGCAAGACGAGACCUCCAGGUGCUCCCUGGAACUGACAUACCUGUCAGGCUGGCAGUGCCCAGUGCCUAACCCUGUGCCCUUUUCUUUGAUAAAAUGAUUGGUAACAAGGUAGAAAGAAGCAACUGCCCAAAGUUGCUCUAUGCUGGCUCUGGUGCACAGAGCAGCCCCAUCUCCUGGUUCUAUCUGUUCUCAUUUACUUGGACUGAAAGGAAGAGAGCAACUAGAAUGCUGCUCUCUCACACUACAGAGAGCCAAAGGUGAUGCUGUUUCAGGGAAAAAUACCAAAUGUACUACUAUUUUCGCCACAUCAUGGUAAUCCAAAGAAGGGAAAAGAAAAAAAUUCUAAGGCUGAUGCUUUAGAAGUACAAAACACAAGCUGCAAGGAAAAACUUAAAUGUUUUAGACUGAAAUUCAAAUAAAGGAUACUUUAAAAAAUCAACAGGGAAGAUGAAAGAUAUGAAAUACCCCAAUUUUUAUAGUCAGGACCAGUGCUUGAGAAAACUGACCUGACUUACCAGUUCUCUCUCAGUACUGGUAUCUAAUCCUUAACAGUUCAUUUUCCAGAUGUAGGAAUGCUUGAAUUUCUGCAAAUACCAGAUUAACAGUAUUUAACCAAGUGGAAACUGGAGCAGUAGACGCUUUGUUAUGCUGUUUCAGCUGGCUCUAGACAAAUUACAGCAUCGACCCAUACGGUUAGGGCAGCCCAUGUCACAAACACUUGGAUCUAACAGUCCCAGGCAGUUUUUGAUACACCUCAUUCUGUACUGGGUGUUUUUUGAAACAUUUUUGAAGACAAAACUAAGGUUAUUCUUUAGUAAGAGGAGAAUUUAUUAAAUGUAAAGUUCUACCUUUUCUUAUUGUAAAGGAAGAAAACUUACACCCUUACAUUUAAGAGACUAUCGAGAUUGACUUGAAGAACACUUCAGUAAACAACUGCCGUUUUUAAAGAUCGGUGCACAUACUAACGUCUUCAAAGUAACGGUGUGAAAACUUCACUCUCCUUUGUUAGAAAUCAGAUACCCCGUGCUUACGUUUGCCAGUGUGUUAGCUGGGAAAUGAUGUAUUGCUCGUGCAGUGCCAAGGAGACCUGAAAAGUUUUUUUGAUUCUGCCAGGUCAGGCGAGCAGCCACCCGACUGCUUUAAGGCCGACACAGACUACUCUAACAGUAUCGCUGGCUGCCGGAUCAUGUUGCGCAUUUGCAGCUGGAACAACACUACAUUUUAAAAGGUUAUGAAAUGCAAUUGCAUCUGAACACGGAACACAUUUUAAAGUCAAGGUAUGUAAAUUUACUGUCAUAAAAGGAAUGCCAUUGAGUUUCCAUUCUACACACUUGGGUGAAAAGUUUGUUAAAAAGUCAAGAAACAAAACCGCGUAAAAUCUGCAAUAGGCAACAAUAUACAGAGUUUCAAAUAUAAAAUCAUGACUUGUAUAGUUUGUUACUCGCAUCUUUUCACAAGAGGAAAUUAAAAGAACCACACAUCACUGAACUUCUACACAAGCUUCUUGUGUUUCAAUGUCAUUUAUUGAGGAGUGAAUGAGAUACUGUCAGACAUGCCAAAGAGACUUCACAUUCAAGGGCUGGAAGCUGAACAGCUUUCCUCAUUGAGUCACUGUACAAGUUGGUUUUGGGAAUCUGAAAGUGCGAUCAAUGAGGUCUUCAUGCUCGAUGUUUGUCUUCAGUUUUUCAUCUUUUGAUCUACUAACUUGUCGGGCAGAAGGACGCUUUCUACCCUACAAAGACUCACACUCCAAUUAAUACAAUUAACACUAGAUGUAGAGAAACGUUUAUCUGUUAUAACGUACAUCUACUGCUGAGUACAAGGUCUUAAAGCUGUUUCUUAAUUCAUUAUGUCUAAUGAGAAGAUUCAACUUGUUUCCCUUUCGCCAUCGUAUGGAUGGCUUAUACCGUUAGAAAAAUACUCUUCAGUGCUAUUGUAGGGUUUACAGGAAACUUCUUCCGUGUUGUGGGACAGAAACCGAUUUAAACACCGUUCUGAAAGAAUGCUUCUUCCUGCUGCCACUGCCUGUAGGUUGCAGAAGAAUGGCCUACACGCACUACAGUUCUGGUUUUACUCAAAAAAGAAACAAAA